rnacentral:rRNA from 1 species
CCUACGGGUUGCAGCAGUAGGGAAUCUUCCACAAUGGGCGAAAGCCUGAUGUCUCCCCUCCUCUUUUUUGACGCAGGUCUUCGGCUCGUAAAACCCUGUUGUUAGAGAAGAAAGUGCGUGAGAGUAACUGUUCACGUUUCGACGGUAUCUAACCAGAAAGCCACGGCUAACUACGUGCCAGCAGCCGCGGUAAUACGUAGGUGGCAAGCGUUAUCCGGAUUUAUUGGGCGUAAAGGGAACGCAGGCGGUCUUUUAAGUCUGAUGUGAAAGCCUUCGGCUUAACCGGAGUAGUGCAUUGGAAACUGGGAGACUUGAGUGCAGAAGAGGAGAGUGGAACUCCAUGUGUAGCGGUGAAAUGCGUAGAUAUAUGGAAGAACACCAGUGGCGAAAGCGGCUCUCUGGUCUGUAACUGACGCUGAGGUUCGAAAGCGUGGGUAGCAAACAGGAUUAGAUAACCUGGUAGUC